UCCGAAUAUCGGGUAUCAUUGUUAGAUGGUCACUUCGAUUAGUACAGGAAUUGGUUCCUGUGCUAUUGGCUUAGGUUCGAACCUAUGGGGUCACACACAUUAGAGGUUCCUAUCUGAUCUGAUGGCUGGUGAAGAGUUUCACUGGACUGGGACUCUUUGACUAAGAGUCCUUAUGCUUGGAGACUCUAUGAUUGAGAAUCAGGAUUCUCUGAUC
rnacentral:lncRNA from 1 species